AUGCCAAGUGUGGAUUACUAGACUACUAUUAAUUGGACAACAAAAGUUGUGUGGUUAGGAUAAUGGCGAUGUUUAUUUUCUUAUACUCAAUCCAAAGGUUAAAGCCUUCAAUAAUAAGCCAGUGAACUGAAAUAUCUAAGUAACUGGUUAAAGAACAGUCAUAUGACUUAACUCUCCGAGUAGUGAAGAGCGAAAGGAUAAAAGCUGGAAAACUGUUAUACCCAAACAGGUAUACGUUUUCAAUAAUAAGCAGGGUACUUCGGUACUUUGUCUCUAGGGAGAUUUUGCUGAGUAAAAAUAGUAGGCGAUAGUGAAAUAGUACCGAGAGGGAAAGUUGAAUAAAGUAACACGGAUGUGUGGUGAAAUAGAACAUGAAACAAUUGGCAU
rnacentral:ncRNA from 1 species